rnacentral:lncRNA from 1 species
ACUUUAGUCACGCAACAAUUUUGCCACUUUCAUCAAGAGCUAUUGCAGGUAAUGUAGAUGUGGACAUGUGGAGAUGUGACAGUAAGGUGACUUUAUUGUUCCUUGGGCAGGGAACUUUCCAGUGACAAAACUAUCACUGUGUCUAUGAAGAUCAUUGUAAUUUCUCACAUUGACUCAGUGACAAACUGUUGCCUAUCAGACAAGAAUGUGUUUAAAAACGAAAUGGCUGCUGUCUCUGAAGCAACAGGUGAGGAAAAGAUCAAUAAUAAUGACCUAAUAGAAGAAAUAGAAAUAAGAGCUUUCUCAUAUAAGAACUCAAAGAAUAUUUAUUGCCAUUUUAAAGAAACACCUAUGGCAAGAAAUUUGCGAAAAAUUGUUUCCUGUAAAUGGGAAAGAUUGAUAGAGCAACAACAAAUAAAAACAAGUACAUUUGUCUAUUAAUAAGAUUUUUUAUUAUGAAAAUAUACAUAAUUAAGUAAUAAC